rnacentral:tRNA from 1 species
GGAGGCUUAGCUCAGCGGCAGAGCAGGGGACUCAUAAUCCCUCGGUCGCAGGUUCGAAUCCUGCAGCCUCCACCA